UGCAGUCGAGCGCAGGAGCAAGUUGAUCCCCUUCGGGGGUGACGCUUGUGGAAUGAGCGGCGGACGGGUGAGUAACACGUGGGCAACCUGCCUGUAAGACUGGGAUAACCCCGGGAAACCGGGGCUAAUACCGGAUAAUACUUUCUUUUGCAUAAAGGAAAGUUGAAAGGCGGCUUCGGCUGUCACUUACAGAUGGGCCCGCGGCGCAUUAGCUAGUUGGUGAGGUAACGGCUCACCAAGGCGACGAUGCGUAGCCGACCUGAGAGGGUGAUCGGCCACACUGGGACUGAGACACGGCCCAGACUCCUACGGGAGGCAGCAGUAGGGAAUCUUCCGCAAUGGACGAAAGUCUGACGGAGCAACGCCGCGUGAGUGAUGAAGGUUUUCGGAUCGUAAAACUCUGUUGUUAGGGAAGAACAAGUACGAUAGUAACUGAUCGUACCUUGACGGUACCUAACCAGAAAGCCACGGCUAACUACGUGCCAGCAGCCGCGGUAAUACGUAGGUGGCAAGCGUUGUCCGGAAUUAUUGGGCGUAAAGCGCUCGCAGGCGGUCCUUUAAGUCUGAUGUGAAAUCUCGCGGCUCAACCGCGAACGGUCAUUGGAAACUGGAGGACUUGAGUACAGAAGAGGAGAGUGGAAUUCCACGUGUAGCGGUGAAAUGCGUAGAGAUGUGGAGGAACACCAGUGGCGAAGGCGACUCUCUGGUCUGUAACUGACGCUGAGGAGCGAAAGCGUGGGGAGCGAACAGGAUUAGAUACCCUGGUAGUCCACGCCGUAAACGAUGAGUGCUAGGUGUUAGGGGGUUUCCGCCCCUUAGUGCUGAAGUUAACGCAUUAAGCACUCCGCCUGGGGGAGUACGGCCGCAAGGCUGAAACUCAAAAGAAUUGACGGGGGCCCGCACAAGCGGUGGAGCAUGUGGUUUAAUUCGAAGCAACGCGAAGAACCUUACCAGGUCUUGACAUCCUCUGCCAUUCCUAGAAGAUAGGAAGUUCCCUUC
rnacentral:rRNA from 1 species